GGUUUCCAAACGAUCACUGAAGUUAAGAAACUUCAAGCUUAGUUAGUACCUAGAUGGGUGACCACAUUGGAAUACCAGGUGCUGUAAGC